rnacentral:rRNA from 1 species
AACCUGCGGAAGGAUCAUUUGCACAUGUGUAUCCAACUUCAUUCUAAUGAUAUUGUGGGCAAGUGCGGGCAUGUAUUGCAAUGUGCUUGCAUGUGCCCUGGGCUGCAUGACUUGUUUUACAAUCAUGUGUGCUGCACUAUCUAAUAUACUUAAUCAACUGUUUGGUAAUUCUUCAUUGAUUACAAUGAUUAUGUUUUGCAAAGAAUGUAUUAGUUCAAUAAAUGAUGAAGAAUGCAGCAAAAUGCACUAUGCAUUGUGAAUUGCAGAAUUCCGUGAGCUAACAGAUGUUUGAAUGUUACUUGUACCUUUGGGAUAUUCUUGAAGGUGUGCUUGAUUCAAUGCAAACUGUCUUCCAUAUGCAAUAAUGCUGCUUAGCAUUGCUGUGAACAGUAGGGGUCAAUGUGUGUGCAUUGAACCUGGGUGUUGUGCAGCUGUUUGCAACCUAAACAUGUUUUCUUGGGGGCAAACUUGUUUCGUCAUUUGCUGGUUGAUAUGUGUAAAAAUGCAUAUUUGAAACAAGUUGAAUACUUGCAUUCACUUAGCGUGAAGUGAAGCACAUAAACCUGCUGAAUUUAAGCAUAUAAGUAAGUGGUGGAAAUUAAACCAAAUGGGAUUUCUUUAGUAAUUGCGAAUGAACAAGGAUAUGCUUAGCUUGACAAAUGGAGCUUUUGGCUUUGAGUUGUAUUGUGGAAAUGUACCACCAACAGAGGUGCAAGUGUCAGCCAUUUGAAAGAAAGCGUCAAUGAGGGUGAGAAUCCUGUUUGUCAUGUGCAGCCCUCUGUGCACGGUGUAUAUUUGCUGAGUCACACUCCUUGGCAUUGGAAUGCAAAGUGGGUGGUAAGUUUCAUACAAAGGUAAAUAUGCAAUUGAGACUGAUAGCACACAAGUACCAUGAGGGAAAUAUGAAAAGGACUUUGAAAAGAGAAUUAAAUGAGUUUGUAUUUGCUGAACACAAAGCAAACAGACUUGAUUUGCUUGGUGAGAUUGUAGUGCUUGCUUGACAAUAGGUUUUGGCUGUGGGUGAAAUGAUUCUUUCUUUGCAUGCCAGGUUCUAUGUGUACAUUUGAUUACCUUUGCACAUGAAUGGUAAUUUUCCUGCGGGGGGUGGAUUGCAUGUGCAUGUAAUGAUUUGUGUUUUGAUGAAUGUGUCUGGUGUAUCUGUUUUUGUUCCAUGUGUUUGAGGUUGCUUCCUUCCUUGGGCUUACAAGCCCUGACACACACAAUCUGGCAAAAUGUUUCUGCUUGACCCGUCUUGAAACACGGACCAAGGAGUCUAACAGAUGUGCAAGUUUGAGGGUGUUAUACCUUUGUGUGUAAUGAAAGUGUUGGCUGGGAUAUUUGCACCAGCAGCCGACUAAUUAGCAGAUAGAGGUUUGAGUUGGAGCAUAUCUAUUAGGACC